UAGCAAGGAUAUAGUUAACGAAAACAUACUGACAAUUUUCAACAUAUCCUGGGCAUAAAUCACACUCAACAGUAUCAGACUGAAUAAUACCUCGGUAAAGCAAAAGUUCUUUUGUUGCCGGACAUUGCCAUCAGACAACUUACCCUCAUGGGGAUGGAAAGGUGCCACAUCCAAGAAAAAUUGUAAAUAAAUGGCUGCAAGUAAGAU
rnacentral:lncRNA from 1 species